rnacentral:rRNA from 1 species
AUUGAACGCUGGCGGCAGGCCUAACACAUGCAAGUCGAGCGAGCGGCGGACGGGUGAGUAAUGUAUGGGGACUGCCCGCUAGAGGGGGAUAACUACUGGAAACGGUGGCUACUACCGCAUACUAUCGGAUAACCCAUAUGGGAUUAGCUAGUAGGGGGGGUACAGGCUCACCUAGGCGACGAUGGCUAGCUGGUCUGAGAGGAUGAUGAGCCACACGGGGACGGAGACACGCCCCAGACGCCUACGGAGGCAGCAGUGGGGAAUAUUGCACAAUGGGCGCAAGCCUUAUGCAGCCAUGCCGCGUGUAUGAAGAAGGCCUUAGGUUUGUAAAGUACUUUCAGCGGGGAGGCGUUACCCGCAGAAGAAGCACCGGCUAACUCCGUGCCAGCAGCCGCGGUAAUUC